UAAUACAGAGGGGGCAAGCGUUAUUCGGAAUUAUUGGGCGUAAAGGGCGCGUAGGCGGUCUCUCAAGUGGAUGGUGAAAUCCCCGGGCUUAACCUGGGAACUGCCGUCCAAACUGAGCGACUUGAGUCCGGGAGAGGUAAGUGGAAUUCCCAGUGUAGCGGUGAAAUGCGUAGAUAUUGGGAGGAACACCAGUGGCGAAGGCGGCUUACUGGACCGGAACUGACGCUGAGGCGCGAAAGCGUGGGGAGCAAACAGGAUUAGAUACCCUGGUAGUCCACGCUGUAAACGAUGAGUGCUGGGUGUAGGGGGUAUCGACCCCUCCUGUGCCGAAGUUAACACAUUAAGCACUCCGCCUGGGGAGUACGGUCGCAAGGCUG
rnacentral:rRNA from 1 species